UAAGGUUAAGUGGACUUUGCCAAAGAGCAAGUUGUUGGGUAGCUUCCAGCCUGCUCAUUUUUCCGUAUUGAACGCAAACAUCAAUCAAGGCAUUUUCAACACCAUCUAAAAAUCCCUUUUUACCACCACAAAGAUAAACCUUCCCAUGAGGAUGACUAAGAACACUCCAUACAAUGUCACCACGGUGUCGAAUCUCGUCCUGUACAUAGGCAUGUUGGUGAGAACGUGAUUCAACAACAAGAUGGUUGGGGCCACUAGUACCGUCUUUUUUAACUUCGAAGGAAUCCAUUUCAGUUUCGGUUUGUUGGCUGACUGUAGAAGAUGCAUCAUCGUCUGAAGACUUUUGAAGCGGGUUUUCCCACUCACCAUGAUAGAGCUCAUCCAAUUCUUGGUCGCGGCAUCCAUGGAAAACCCAAACUUUACCAGCACAAGUGGCAUUUGUAAGACGUCGUUGCACAAAACCUCUAAAGGGAGCAACACCUACACCGGCACCGAUUAGGCACAUAGGGCCAUCAGAAGCAAAAUGUGUGGCAAAUGCGUUUUUGUGCAGACCGCGGUACAUUGGAAGGACGAGAUCUCGUUCACCAUUUAAAAAUCUCAAUGCCAAUCUUUUCAAAAAACCAGAACCAAUACCAGAACGAGUGCCUCCUUCAACUUUAUUGAUUUCAACAACUGUAACCGCAAAUUCCAAUACAUUAUUACUGACCUUGGGAUCGUUUGACAAAGAAUACCAUCUAGGCAUAAGCUGGGGAAGCACGGUUAAAAGGUGAUCAAGAGGAAGUUGAACACUAGGGAAAGCCUUUAGCAGAGUGAUAAGUGUAACGUUGUGGUCCCUUAAAUCACAGAAAGCACGUUGUCCCAAACGACUGACCAAAAACAACAAAACUUGCCGCUCGGUAUCAUCCUUGGCGUAUUCGGCAAGUAACCGAAUAAGCUGCUUUUUUGGGGCGACAGACAUAAACUCCACGGUCCAUUUAAGAAGCUCACGCCUGGUUGUAACGAGUUCUCUAGGUGUGUCUUCUGCCCAGAUGGUGGGCCAACGACCUCCAUCGGUUUUUAAAAGGACAGGGGCAUCUGCCUGGUCGGGAUUGAUAUGAAGUAAUUGUAAAAGCUCAUCCACAUCCUCUUCGUUGUUGGGAGCCAUUACACCAAACGACCCUCCAACCAUCCACUCUUCGCCUUCAGGAAGGGGAUAGUUGGAAACGUCUAGUUCAAAAUGGAACACACGUUUGACAGCACCUGGUUUAGUGAGCUCACGAACGUCUAGUAUAGGGGCGGGAAAGACACUGAACGGAGGGUGUGGUUGAACAUAGUGAGGAGGCAUUCUAGAAGGAGUUGAAUGAAUUUGAAAGUUGGGGUCUUCUUUGGCACGAGCCUCAUCGAUAUCAAUCAAAGAGACAUGAUUCUCGGGAACUUUGGGAAUUCUGUCAAGAGUAAUAUUUUCAUGUAGAAGACCUAGAUCCAUGUUCAAAGCCUGGAAGGUAGGGUUUAAUGAAAGUUUGGAGAAGGUUUUGGAAAGUUUAUUUACCGACUCAUCGACAUUGGCCGAUUCAUGAGGUUCCGAAGGCGAGCAACGACAGUUUAUACAACCAUUCUCGUUGGAAACACACGUUUUAAAGUUCGAAGAGGGAGAUGAGGUACGCGGAGAUGGUAGGAUCUCUGCCUUAAGUGAGGUUGCAACAGAAGGUGCCAUCUUGAGAAAAAAUAAAGUAGAAGUGGAUAGAGAAAAGUAUUAAAAAUAGUAAGGGGAAAAAGGCAAACAAGCUGCCGGAUGAAAAGGAAUUACAAAUGGAAACUAACAAGACAGUGAAGACUUUUAAAUAAACAAAAUGACAAUCGUAAGGAAGAAAGUCAAGGAUGUAAAAAGUAGAAAACAAAACAAAACAAAAGAAAAAAAAAGAAUAAAAUUUUAGAGAAGGGGAAGAAAACGAGUAAACGGAUUAAAAAUAAGAUAGAUACACAAGACACAACGAUUCCAAACCAAUGGGUGGGGUAACCCGAAUCCUAGAAAGAUAAUUUUAAAUAAAAAGAAGGAGAAGACGUAAAAGGAUAAACCGAUUAGUACGAUGUUCAAAGAAAUUUUUGGAAUCUACAGGCGUGGUAAAAGUAGAGUUAAAACCAGACGAUCUGAAGGAAAAAGCAAAGGCGAUAAAAAGGGCUGGCAAAUGAGAACGAGUGAAGCAAACAAACAAAUGUGGAAGAAUAAUUUGUAUUGUAUUUGUUUUGUAUCAGAUAUGAAGCAAAGUCGCCUCUCUUGGGUGGUGUAUGUGUACGAAGAUACAAGUAGGUGGUAGUAGGACAGGUGAAGAUGCUAGCUACCUUGUUAACAGGAAUGAGAUGUACGGUACCUUAAGCCACCAGGGCAAAACAAAGUGUCUGUUAAUAAACUCACCCAACAGAUGACUAAAAAGGUGCUCAAGCUUGCGCAACUUGAGUAGAAGGGCCAAUAAAAAAAAAUGAUCUGAUAAAAAAUUUUUAGUCAAAUUAAAAUCACACGUUAUGUUCCUCCGACAGCCCGUAACGAAGAGCGAUCAAAUAGGAAUGCCACGGCUCAAUAAUGACGCAAAGAUCGACGAUUCAGAUUGAAAACGAGAUUUACCACUGACGAAGGUUGGAAUGACAAGCUUGGACUAGGAUUGCUGAUGAGAAAAUGGAUGUUGGGAGUAGAGUAUGCAAAAGUUAUUGUAGAAGGGCUAAAAAGAAA